ACAUUAAAGCUAGCCUGUAUACCUUAACCCUAAACCUAACCUUAUUAAAUUACCUUAUAUGUUAAAUCAUAACUAAAACAUUUUAACCUUUUAGUAUGGGCGACAGAACAAAAACUCAGCGCAAUAGAUUAUGUACCGCAAGGGAAAGCUGAAAAAGAAAUGAAACAAAUAAUUAAAGUAACGAAAAGCAGAGAUUCAACCUCGUACCUUUUGCAUCAUGAUUUAGCUAGAAAAACUAGACAAAGAGAUCUUAAGCCUACCCUCCCGAAACUAAACGAGCUACUCCGAAGCAGCACAAUUUUUAGAGCCAACCCGUCUCUGUGGCAAAAGAGUGGGAAGACUUCCGAGUAGCGGUGACAAGCCUAUCGAGUUUAGUGAUAGCUGGUUGCCCAAGAAAAGAACUUUAAUUCUGCAUUAAUUUCUUCACCACCAAAAAGUCUAUCUUAUUAAGGUUAAACAUAAAAAUUAAUAGUUAUUCAGAAGAGGUACAGCCCUUCUGAACUAAGAUACAACUUUUCAAGGCGGAAAAUGAUCAUACUUACCAAGGUUUUUACCUCAGUGGGCCCAAAAGCAGCCAUCUGUAAAGUAAGCGUCACAGCUCCAGUCUCACAAAAACCUAUAAUUUAGAUAUCCUCUCAUAAACCCCUUAACCAUUACUGGGCUAUUUUAUAAAAUUAUAAAAGAACUUAUGCUAAAAUGAGUAAUAAGAGAACAAACCUCUCCAGACAUGAGUGUAUGUUAGAAAGAAUUAAAUCACUAACAAUUAAACGAACCCAAACUGAGGCCAUUAUAUUAAUAUUACCUUAACUAGAAAACCUUAUUGUAUUAUUCGUUAACCCUACACAGGAAUGUCCUAAGGAAAGAUUUAAAGAAAAUAAAGGAACUCGGCAAACACAAACUCCGCCUGUUUACCAAAAACAUCGCCUCUUGAAUAUUAUAAGAGGUCCCGCCUGCCCUGUGACAAUGUUUUAACGGCCGCGGUAUUUUGACCGUGCAAAGGUAGCGUAAUCAUUUGUCUUUUAAAUGAAGACCCGUAUGAAAGGCAUCACGAGAGUUUAACUGUCUCUAUUUUCUAAUCAAUGAAAUUGAUCUACUCGUGCAGAAGCGAGUAUAAUUACAUUAGACGAGAAGACCCUAUGGAGCUUCAAACACAUAAAUUAAUUAUGUAAACUAAUUACUCCACGGAUAUAAAUAAAAAUAUAAUAUAUUUAAUUUAACUGUUUUUGGUUGGGGUGACCAAGGGGAAAAAUAAAUCCCCCUUAUCGACUGAGUACUCAAAGUACUUAAAAAUUAGAACUACAAUUCUAAUUAAUAAAAUAUUUAUCGAACAAUGACCCAGGAUUUCCUGAUCAAUGAACCAAGUUACCCUAGGGAUAACAGCGCAAUCCUUUCUCAGAGUCCCUAUCGCCGAAAGGGUUUACGACCUCGAUGUUGGAUCAGGACAUCCUAAUGAUGCAACCGUUAUUAAGGGUUCGUUUGUUCAACGAUUAAUAGUCCUACGUGAUCUGAGUUCAGACCGGAGAAAUCCAGGUCAGUUUCUAUCUAUGAAUUAAUUUUUCCUAGUACGAAAGGACCGGAAAAAUGGAGCCAAUACCAUAGGCACGCUCCAUUUUCAUCUAUUGAAACAAACUAAAAUAGAUAAGAAAAAAUUAUCUACUACCCGAGAAAAGGGUU
rnacentral:rRNA from 1 species